UACAGAGGCCUCGAGCGUUAGGCGGAAUCACUGGGCUUAAAGCGUGUGUAGGUGGAUGCCUAAGUACCUUGUGAAAUCCCACGGCUUAACCGUGGAACUGCUGGGUAUACUGGGUGUCUUGAGCCACUCAGGGGCUACCGGAACAAACGGUGGAGCGGUGAAAUGCGUAGAUAUCCGGAAGGACACCGAUGGCGAAGGCAACCACCUGGGCCUGCAUUGACGCUGAGGUACGAAAGCGUGGGGAGCAAACAGG
rnacentral:rRNA from 1 species